ensembl:lncRNA
UCCACUUCUGUGAUCUCUCCAUCACAGGUGUCCCAGAGACUCUCAAUAAGGGAGGUUCAUCAAUCCCUUCAAAAAGAAAAUGGGAGGACUCUGAGGUAAAAGCAGUUGAAAAACAUAUGAUGAAUUUCAUAAAGACCUGCAGAGUUCCUGGUAAGCAAGACUGUGAGAGAUGCAUUAAAGCAGAGUCAGAAGCCUUAAAGGAACGAACAUGGACUGGUGUGAAAAAUUAUGUGCGGAACAGGAUCACAACUUGAGGUGGAUUUUAGAGGCUACAUUGCCUUUUACUGUAAAGUGAAGAACAUGGUGAGGAAAAUGUUAAAAGCAUCAAUGCCAUUUACACCAUAUCAAACUUUAAUAACUUCUGUAAGGCCCUGUUAUACCCCGUUUUAACACUUUCCACAUCAUGCUCAUCAUUUUAAAGAAAUUAGAUAAAAGUUUAAAUAGAAAGAUGUUUAAAGAGGGAGAAUUUGAUUGAGGACAGAAUGAACCACAAUGUUAACGAAGUAAACUAGACAGGAGAAGAGAGCGGAGUAAACGUAAUAUUGAAGUGAUGGAUUAUGAGAAAGGACGAAGAGUCUAGAAAAAGACACUGCACUGACAAACUUUUCAUUGUUUUUAUUGUUCAAUUCAUUUUAGCAUGUUGCCUUCGCUAUUUCAGAUGUGCACUUUCACAAUGUGUGAAUAUUGUUUAUUUGAAAGUGAAAGUGACGUGACAUACAGCCAAGUAUGGUGACCCAUACUCAGAAUUCGUGCUCUGUAUUUAACCCAUCUAAAGUGCACACACACACCGUGAACACACACACACCGUGAUAACCCGGAGCAGUGGGCAGCCAUUUAUGCUGCGGCGCCCGGGGAGCAGUUGGGGGUUCAGUGCCUUGCCUAUUGCCAGCCCGAGACUCGAACCACCAACCUUAGGGUUAGGAGUCAACCUCUCUAACCACUAGGCCAUGACUUCCCCUAUUUGUUCAGUAAUCACAACUGUUUAAUAUAGUUAGAAGAUCACAUGGAUCAGCAGAAGUAAAGGGAUGAAAGAGGGAGGAGUGUAGGUAAAGGUGAAGAAAAGGAGGAGCCAAGGUAAAGCAGAAUAAAGAGGGAGGAGUGUAGGUAAAGAGGUGUGUUUGAGUUGAACUAUAGUAGCCUUCUAGCUGUGUUUCUGCAUGCAGAUCAGUACAAUGAACACCAAAGUGAGUACGUAGAACUAAAUGUAUCAAAACACAAUACAACACACUUCAUGGUUAUUGUGGAGAGUCACGGCCAGUGAGAAUGAAGUGUUGUCAUGAAGCCAGGCACAGCUGAUUUGAGGGCAGCAUCAGCGUCUGAUCUGGGCAGUCGGUCUGCCCGACUACAUAUUAAGCCAAACACAAGGAUAAGAAUAGAGGAGGGGCAAAGGUAAAGAGGAAGAAAAGAUGGAGGAGUGAAGGUUAAGGGAUGGAAAAGAGGGGAAAGUGUGUGAGAAUUGAUGGAUAGAGGUAUUGGGAAGGAUUGUUGGGCAUCAUUUCCAAGUUCCUUGGUAUGUUUGGCUUAACCCUCUGGAGUCUAAGGGUAUUUUUGGGGCCUGGAGAAGUUUUGUCAUGCCCUGACAUUUGUGCUUUUUUCAGUUUCUUAUAAAUAUCUAAAUGGCUAAAGUCCAAUCUCACUGUAAUCAGCACAAACUGGGCUAUAAUAAUAUGUGAGCAGCAUGUAUGUACAUGAUUGUGUUUUUGAGAAAAAAAAUGUUAUGCGUGGUUAGUGAAAAACUAAAAAUGUUAAAUCACUUGAAUAAGGCAAUAAAAC